rnacentral:tRNA from 1 species
GGCAAGGUGGCCGAGCGGUCCAAGGCGCCACGUUAAGGUGAUCCGUGGUCUCGAAAGGGGCGUGAGUUCGAAUCUCACCCUUGUCA